UCUCCCAAUCCUUGUACCAGUGUCUGAUUGUAAGGUGACGCUGGGCAGGGUUUGGGGGGUGGC
rnacentral:miRNA from 1 species